rnacentral:rRNA from 1 species
AUUUUCCUACGGGGCGCAGCAGUGGGGAAUAUUGCACAAUGGGGGGAACCCUGAUGCAGCGACGCCGCGUGAGUGAAGAAGAAUUUCGGUAUGUAAAGCUCUAUCAGCAGGGAAGAAGAUGACGGUACCUGAAUAAGAAGCCCCGGCUAACUACGUGCCAGCAGCCGCGGUAAUACGUAGGGGGCAAGCGUUAUCCGGAUUUACUGGGUGUAAAGGGAGCGUAGACGGCAGGGCAAGUCUGGAGUGAAAGCCCGGGGCCCAACACCGGGACUGCUUUGGAAACUGCCAUGCUGGAGAGCUGGAGG